rnacentral:sRNA from 1 species
UGCAGAAUCCCGUGAACCAUCGAGUCUUUGAACGCAAGUUGCGCCUGAUGCCAUUAGGUUGAGGGCACGUCUGCCUGGGCGUCACAUAUCGAAGCCUCUUGCCAAUUUCCUAUUGAUUGGUAUUGUGCAAGAUGAUGUUGGCCUCCCGUGAGCACCAUCGCCUCAUGGUUGGUUGAAAAUCGAGACCUUGGUAGAGUGUGCCAUGAUAAAUGGUGCAUGUGUUAAGCACGAGACCAAACAAUCAUGUGCUGCUCUAUUGAAUUUAGCCUCUUUUACCCACAUGCGUGUCUAAACGCUCGUGAUGAGACCUCAGGUCAGGCGGGGCUACCCGCUGAAUUUAAGCAUAUCAAUAAGCGGAGGAAAAGAAACUAACAAGGAUUCCCUUAGUAACGGCGAGCGAACCGGGAUAAGCCCACCAUGAGAAUCGGUCGCCCUCGGCGUUCGA